GCGUGCAGGAAGAAGGCCUUCGGGUUGUAAACUGCUUUUGUACGGAACGAAACGGUCUUGGUUAAUACCUGGGGCUAAUGACGGUACCGUAAGAAUAAGCACCGGCUAACUACGUGCCAGCAGCCGCGGUAAUACGUAGGGUGCAAGCGUUAAUCGGAAUUACUGGGCGUAAAGCGUGCGCAGGCGGUUUUGUAAGACAGUCGUGAAAUCCCCGGGCUCAACCUGGGAAUGGCGAUUGUGACUGCAAAGCUGGAGUGCGGCAGAGGGGGAUGGAAUUCCGCGUGUAGCAGUGAAAUGCGUAGAUACGCGGAGGAACACCGAUGGCGAAGGCAAUCCCCUGGGCCUGCACUGACGCUCAUGCACGAAAGCGUGGGGAGCAAACAGGAUUAGAUACCCUGGUAGUCCACGCCCUAAACGAUGUCAACUGGUUGUUGGGUCUCUUCUGACUCAGUAACGAAGCUAACGCGUGAAGUUGACCGCCUGGGGAGUACGGCCGCAAGGUU
rnacentral:rRNA from 1 species